GGGGAUUUAGCUCAGAGGUAGAGCGCUUGCCUAGCAAGCACAAGGCCCUGGGUUCGGUCCCUAGCUCCG
rnacentral:tRNA from 1 species